rnacentral:rRNA from 1 species
GACGAACGCUGGCGGCGUGCUUAACACAUGCAAGUCACGGGGGCCCGCAAGGGCAACCGGCGAACGGGUGCGUAACACGUGAGCAACCUGCCGAUCUGAGGGGGAUAGCCGGCCCAACGGCCGGGUAAUACCGCAUACGUUCUUGUGGCCUCAUGGCUAUGAGAAGAAAACCUCCGGGGCAGAUCGAGGGGCUCGCGGCCUAUCAGCUAGUUGGCGGCGUAAUGGACCACCAAGGCGACGACGGGUAGCUGGUCUGAGAGGAUGGCCAGCCACAUUGGGACUGAGAGACGGCCCAGACUCCUACGGGAGGCAGCAGUGGGGAAUCUUGCGCAAUGGCCGAAAAGGCUGACGCAGCGACGCCGCGUGUGGGAUGAAGCAUUUCGGUGUGUAAACCACUGUUGCCCGGGACGAACAUCC